GACGGAGGAUGCAAGUGUUAUCCGGAAUCACUGGGCGUAAAGCGUCUGUAGGUGGUUUAAUAAGUCAACUGUUAAAUCUUGAGGCUCAACCUCAAAAUCGCAGUCGAAACUAUUAGGCUAGAGUAUAGUAGGGGUAAAGGGAAUUUCCAGUGGAGCGGUGAAAUGCGUAGAGAUUGGAAAGAACACCGAUGGCGAAGGCACUUUACUGGGCUAUUACUAACACUCAGAGAACGAAAGCUAGGGUAGCAAAUGGG
rnacentral:rRNA from 1 species